GGGAGAGAGAGUGAGAGACACAGGGUUUAGCUAACCUGUUUUCUUUCCCUUCCUCUCUCGACCAUUUCCCGCUUUCAUCAUCCCAACAAAUCUUUUGUCCUUCCUUUCCAUUUCUCUAGGAUCAGUAUGGCUGUUGGAAUUUCCAACAUGGAACACCGAAAUUAAGCAAGGAAGGAAGAUCCCCUGUUGUUGUUUAUGCAUUUUCGGCAACAUGGAUGCCCACCGAACUCUU
rnacentral:misc_RNA from 1 species